GACGAACGCUGGCGGCGUGCUUAACACAUGCAAGUCGAGCGGUAAGGCCCUUUCGGGGGUACACGAGCGGCGAACGGGUGAGUAACACGUGGGUGACCUGCCCUCAGCUCUGGGAUAAGCCUGGGAAACCGGGUCUAAUACUGGAUAUGACUCCAUGACGCAUGUUGUGGGGUGGAAAGCCUUGUGCGGCUGAGGAUGGGCCCGCGGCCUAUCAGCUUGUUGGUGGGGUGAGGCCUACCAAGGCGACGACGGGUAGCCGGCCUGAGAGGGCGACCGGCCACACUGGGACUGAGACACGGCCCAGACUCCUACGGGAGGCAGCAGUGGGGAAUCUUGCGCAAUGGGCGAAAGCCUGACGCAGCGACGCCGCGUGAGGGAUGACGGCCUC
rnacentral:rRNA from 1 species